AGUUCAGUGGUAGAACAUCACCUUGCCAAGGUGGGGGUCGCGGGUUCGAAUCCCGUCGUUCGCU
rnacentral:tRNA from 1 species